CCAAAUAUUCAACUAAUUUAGGUAAGCUCUCAAUAUAUAUGUUUCUUCUAGCUAGUUUUUUUUUCUUUUUCUUUAUGUGUGUGUGGGUCUUUUCAAUUUUUUUCUUAAGAUAAUUGGUGGUUCAUUGAGGUAAAGUCUGUGCUUUAUUUUGAACAUUAUUUUUUAAGUUUCAAUUCAAAUUGAAAAAAUCAUAAAAUAUUAAUU
rnacentral:lncRNA from 1 species